rnacentral:rRNA from 1 species
AUUGAACGCUGGCGGCAGGCCUAACACAUGCAAGUCGAGCGAGCGGCGGACGGGUGAGUAAUGUAUGGGGACUGCCCGAUAGAGGGGGAUAACUACUGGAAACGGUAGCUAAUACCGCAUACUAUCGAAUAACCCAUAUGGGAUUAGCUAGUAGGUGAGGUAAUGGCUCACCUAGGCGACGAUCCCUAGCUGGUCUGAGAGGUGGAACAGCUACGAUGUGACUGAGACACGGUCCAGACUCCUACGGAGGCAGCAGGGGUGAAUAUUGCACAAUGGGCGCAAGCUGGAUGCAGCCAUGCCGCGUGUAGGAAGAAGGCCCUAGGGUUGUAAAGUACUUUCAGUCGGGAGGCGUUACCGACAGAAGAAGCACCGGCUAACUCCGUGCCAGCAGCCGCGGUAAUAC